rnacentral:rRNA from 1 species
UGGGGAAUUUUGGACAAUGGGGGCAACCCUGAUCCAGCAAUGCCGCGUGAGUGAGGAAGGCCUUCGGGUUGUAAAGCUCUUUUGUCAGGGAAGAAACGGUAGUAGCGAAUAACUAUUACUAAUGACGGUACCUGAAGAAUAAGCACCGGCUAACUACGUGCCAGCAGCCGCGGUAAUACGUAGGGUGCAAGCGUUAAUCGGAAUUACUGGGCGUAAAGCGUGCGCAGGCGGUUGUGUAAGUCAGAUGUGAAAUCCCCGGGCUCAACCUGGGAAUUGCAUUUGAGACUGCACGGCUAGAGUGUGUCAGAGGGGGGUAGAAUUCCACGUGUAGCAGUGAAAUGCGUAGAUAUGUGGAGGAAUACCGAUGGCGAAGGCAGCCCCCUGGGAUAACACUGACGCUCAUGCACGAAAGCGUGGGGAGCAAACAGGAUUAGAUACCCAAGUAGUCCCUGAGCGGGCUGGCAAGGCGCAU